rnacentral:tRNA from 1 species
GGAGAGAUGGCUCAGAGGUUAAGAGCACUGACUGUUCUUCCAGAGGUCCUGAGUUCAAUUCCCAGCCACCCCA